rnacentral:lncRNA from 1 species
UGAAGAAUCUUUAUUCCAGCCAGUGAUUUAAAAUACAUUCAACAACAUCAACAGAUGCCUAUCAGGAACCAGAGUAACAGGAACAUUCUGAGAAUAACCUCCACUCAGCAUGAGAAGGAAGCAGUCCCUGUACACCUUGACAAGAUGCCCACUCAACACCAGAAAUAACUGAGAGAUGGAAACAACUACUCACCUUACUCAAGGAUAUGUGAGCAUGGAAUAAAAUAAAUAUGGCCA